UUCAUGAUGUGUCCGUCUUCUGAACAAAGA
rnacentral:piRNA from 1 species